CCCUACGGGGUGCAGCAGCCGCGAAACCUUGUCAGUGCACGCAAGUGUGAACAGGGAACUCCGAGUGCUUAUGCUUUGCAUAGGCUUUUGUUAAGAGUUAAAAUCUUAGCGAAUAAGCGGUGGGUAAGACUGGUGCCAGCAGCCGCGGUAACACCAGCGCCGCAAGUGGGAAUCAUGUAUUUGGCCUAAAGCGUCCGUAGCCUGAUUGGCAAAUUUUCUGUGAAAUUGUAUAGCUCAACUAUACAGCGUGCAGGAAACACUACCAAUCUUGGAACCGGGAGGGGUAUAGAGUAUUCCAGGGGAAGCGGUAAAAUGCUAUAAUCCCCGGAGGACUACCUAUGGCGAAGGCACUAUGCCAGAACGGAUUCGACGGUGAGGGACGAAAGCUAGGGGAGCGAUCCGGAUUAGAUACCCGAGUAGUCCUAGCCGUAAACGCUGCGAGCUAGGUGUUGCAUAUUCUCCGUGAAUAUGCAGUAUCGAAGUGAAGAUGUUAAGCUCGCCGCCUGGGAAGUAUGGUCGCAAGGCUGAAACUUAAAGGAAUUGGCGGGGGAGCAC
rnacentral:rRNA from 1 species